CGGGUGCACUGAUCCCAGCCGGGCCUUUCCCUCUGUGGAACCCCAUGGCCUUCACUGGCUGUGGUGGGGAAACAGGACUUUUACUUUGAAAAAAUUAGAGUGCUCCAGGCAGGCCUAUGCUCGAAUACAUUAGCAUGGAAUAAUAGAAUAGGACGUGUGGUUCUAUUUUGUUGGUUUCUAGGACCGCCGUAAUGAUUAAUAGGGACAGUCGGGGGCAUCAGUAUUCAAUUGUCAGAGGUGAAAUUCUUGGAUCUAUUGAAGACUAACUACUGCGAAAGCAUUUGCCAAGGAUGUUUUCAUUGAUAAGGAACGAAAGUUAGGGGAUCGAAGACGAUCAGAUACCGUCGUAGUCUUAACUAUAAACUAUGCCGACUAGGGAUCGGACGAUGUUAUUCUUUGACGCGUUCGGCACCUUUCGAGAAAUCAAAGUGCUUGGGCUCCAGGGGGAGUAUGGUCGCAAGGCUGAAACUUAAAGAAAUUGACGGAAGGGCACCACCAGGGGUGGAACCUGCGGCUUAAUUUGACUCAACACGGGGAAACUCACCAGGUCCAGACACAGUGAGGAUUGACAGAUUGAGAGCUCUUUCUUGAUUCUGUGGGUGGUGGUGCAUGGCCGUUCUUAGUUGGUGGAGUGAUUUGUCUGCUUAAUUGCGAUAACGAACGAGACCUUAACCUGCUAAAUAGCCCGUACUGCUUUGGCAGUUCGCCGGCUUCUUAGAGGGACUAUCGG
rnacentral:rRNA from 1 species